AAGGAAAUCAUGGCCUCCCACUCCCGAUGGAGGCCCCAAAUGUCGGACCCCUAUUUUUUGUAUUUGUCUGGGUGUCUGGGGCGCAUAGCGACACGGGACCGCCGGCUGGCUGGCCGGCUGCCCGUCCGGUCACGUGCUUGCGUCCCGACACCCACCAUAAAACCUAUGUUCUCUAAAUACACGCUCUCACUCCUCCUCUACCGACUGUGACGCCAACACCAUCCGCGGACCCCGGCUCCGACGAGGGCGGCCGAAAUGGCCGGCCCACAAUUGGUGCCAGCGGUGGUGGUUGGUUGUCGGUGGAGGACUUUUGGCUUCAGGUUCGUGCUUCUUGUGGCGGAACGAGUGCAGCGUCAAAUAAUACCCAAAGGACAUGCAUGCUUCUCGAUAUUCCCAAUUAAUUAACAGUAUACUUUAUCGAACUAACUACUGAUUAGCUUUAAUUUUGGUCAUCUGGUGAACAAAAAACGACUCCUAUAACAUUGACCAAUAACGUUUGGCCAUUCUGAACAAUUUACACCAGCGAAAGUAAUAAGUGGCAAUAAAAAAAUUGUCCACAGAAAGUUUGCCAAUUCAACAAUUUACAGCGAUAUAACUACAUUAGAAGUAUUGCUGUUUGCAUGCCUUCCCAAACGAUUUCACGGGUAUGACGUGAUACACAGAUGCACUCGUUCAGAAGACGCCACUCUUUAAAAGGACUUCUUUUUUUUCAACCGUAUAUUUUUUUUAUUAAAUAACAAUCCUUGAGUUUCUGUUACCCAUCUGGGAGUGGCCACUAUCUGACUCCCCGAGCAUCGACUACGGAGAAACGCCGAUACGCAUCACGGUCUGCAAAAGCUGGCUGAUGAUAGUCAUGAUGGGGUCGGAAGCUCAUCGCCGAUCCGUCUGGCUGUCUCAGUCGCUCUGCAUCUGGUCCACGAAUCACACACUGCAACUGCGGACGCCAUCACCGACUGCAACGGCUGCAACUGCAACCAGCAGGUGGCCUAGGUCCAAAGCCAACGCCUGGCUGACCCACAUGGCCGCCUGCCGUCGCUGCUACCUCAUCUGCUCAUCGUGCUUCGCUGUUCUCCGUCCGUUCGUCCGUCACUCUCGUCGCCCGUGCCAGCCGCCAUCAACAUGGCUGAGCGCACUAUCGCCGCCAUCAAGGCGCUGUCGAUCAAAGGGGUCACCAACACCCUCGCCAGUUCCACCAGCUUCCGGUACGCUGACGUCUCCGGUAUCGGUGCUGUGCGGCGGCAGCCAACGCUCCGUUGACAGGUGUGGCCACACUGUCACGGCGCACCCUGGCCGCUGCCCCUCACGAUCAACUCGGACAUCAUCUACCCGCAGAGGUGCCUGGCGCAUAACAUCGACAACGACAAAACAUGGCGACAACGAUAACGACGACGACUAGCGAUGACGACAAAACCGAAUCGGAGAGCAGCGACAACAGCAGCAGCAGUAGUAGCAACAACAGGCGUACCAGUACCAGUAGCAGCAGCAGCCGUACCUGCAGCAGCAGCAGCAGUCGUACCUGGCUUUCCAUGCGCGGUGUCAUACGUGGAUCUAUGCAGUUAGGGUCGUGAUUGCUUAUUGGUCGCCUCCUCUUGUCAGCUUGUUGGGGGAGGAAAGAUAUGUGGAGAAGGAAAUCAUGGCCUCCCACUCCCGAUGGAGGCCCCAAAUGUCGGACCCCUAUUUUUUGUAUUUGUCUGGGUGUCUGGGGCGCAUAGCGACACGGGACCGCCGGCUGGCUGGCCGGCUGCCCGUCCGGUCACGUGCUUGCGUCCCGACACCCACCAUAAAACCUAUGUUCUCUAAAUACACGCUCUCACUCCUCCUC